rnacentral:rRNA from 1 species
UACGUAGGUGGCAAGCGUUAUCCGGAAUUACUGGGCGUAAAGCGCACGCAGGCGGUCUUUUAAGUUUGACGUGAAAGCUCCCGGCUUAACUGGGAGAGGUCGUUGAAGACUGGAAGACUUGAGGCAAUGAGAGGGGUGUAGAAUUCCCGGUGUAGUGGUGGAAUGCGUAGAUAUCGUAAGGAAGACCAGUGGCGAAGGCGGGUCUCUGGACAGUUCCUGACGCUGAGGCACGAAGGCCAGGGGAGGCAAACGGGAUU